CUGAAUAAUAACACUGAAUAGUGAAUAUGUUUAGGAAACUGAACAUUUACUGCCCUGUUAUAAGGAAUAUAUUCCCUGUCCUAACACUCAAUAUGGUUGCUCAGCAUCUUUACAACGUCAGAAUGUUCCCUCGCACCUGCCUACCUGCCCGGCAAAUAUUAUUGCUUCCACUCAAGAAUGGAACAGGUCUCCAAUAUCCUGUAAAGAGAGAUGUUGUACUCUUCCUUUCCAGUUAAAGAACCCUCAAGCUGCCAGAGGAGAUGUUGACCUUGAACUAGCUUUAAGAGAUGAAAGACUAGGUGGAGAGUUGUUUGAAGUUCCCAGGUAUCCAUACACCAUGGAGCAGAUAAGUUAAAAACUAGAUUCAAAUUGAAGAGAUGAAAGACUAGGAGAGAGUGUUUAAAGUUCCCAGGUAUCCAUACACCAUGGAGCAGAUAAGUUAAAAACUAGAUUCAAAUAGAAGAGAUGAAAGACUAGGUGGAGAGUUGUUUAAAGUUCCCAGGAUCUAAGAAGAGAUCAAUGGGAGAAUCAUUGUAAGAAUGUGCAUAAUGAUAUUCACGGUGGACUGAACAACUGGUUGGUUGCUAGAUGUCCUCUUUCUGCAUAUGGCUGUGGGUUUUCAUACUCUAGACUGUAU